rnacentral:rRNA from 1 species
CCUACGGGAGGCAGCAGUGGGGAAUAUUGGACAAUGGGGGGAACCCUGAUCCAGCCAUGCCGCGUGUGUGAAGAAGGCCCUCGGGUUGUAAAGCACUUUCAGUGAGGAAGAACGCCUGGUGGUUAAUACCCAUCAGGAAAGACAUCACUCACAGAAGAAGCACCGGCUAACUCCGUGCCAGCAGCCGCGGUAAUACGGAGGGUGCGAGCGUUAAUCGGAAUUACUGGGCGUAAAGCGCGCGUAGGUGGCUUGAUAAGCCGGUUGUGAAAGCCCCGGGCUCAACCUGGGAACGGCAUCCGGAACUGUCAAGCUAGAGUGCAGGAGAGGAAGGUAGAAUUCCCGGUGUAGCGGUGAAAUACGUAGAGAUCGGGAGGAAUACCAGUGGCGAAGGCGGCCUUCUGGACUGACACUGACACUGAGGUGCGAAAGCGUGGGUAGCAAACAGGAUUAGAUACCCGAGUAGUC